ensembl:lncRNA
UGUACACUGCCCCCUGGCUUUCAGAGUCUUGUGAACGCGCUCCACAUGCACGGUUUCUUCUCUCCGUGAGAAGAGAAGCUGUUUGUGUUAGUAACGUUUGUGUUAUCGUUCGUGGACGGUAGAAAACAGCUUUGCUGGGAGCUUUAAACAAGGAUGCUCUUUACUCGAAGACGACGUGGGCUUAACUUUGGAUAUUGGAGCCUGUUUUUAAUCGUGACGUCGAAAAAACGAAGCUUAUCAGCAGCUUUCACCGCCUUAAUGUUUGCUGACGUGUGGGAUCAGGCACAAAGGAGCUGCUAGUAUGUUUUUAGAGCCUCUGCAUGUCGGGGUAAGUAAAACACAGACACGCAGAGUCAUAAGAAGGUCGUGUUUCACGUCUGGUUGUAGCGCUGAAAUAUGGCUGCUGCUCUAGUUGAGCGUUGCGCCAUCUAUCACCGACGGAGCGUUACCCAGCGUCGGGAGCGCGCACUGGUCAGGAUCCAGGUUACUCCAGGUUACUACAGCCGUGCUUUGAGCCAAGUGAAUGUUUUCUGUUAUGUGAGGUUUUAGCCGAAAAAACGAUGUCCAGCAAGUCUCGGUGACUCUAACAGUGAUCAUUUCAACUACACACAAAUACUAAGACUAAGCAAAACACAAAGAAAACUCACACCACACGGAGCCGCUUCUACUUCGCAACUAGCGAGCUAACUUGCGCUCGAAGCCCGGUAACCGGCGAGCUUCUCUAAUCACGCUUACGUCCCGAUUUUGUGUGUUUAUAAUAUGACAAUAACGGCAAAUCAAUUAAUCAGCAAUCUAAGAGUAAGCAUCUCACCUGUGGACGCAAACGCGUAAUAACAGAGGAGAAGAAUCCCGAAGAGCGACGUAAGAACUCCGGUACCCAUCUUGUCCGGUCCCCGCUAUGACAUAUAACUUCACCCGUAACGGUGAAGGCUGCGGUUGUGCCCUAAACAGGUUUCCUGGUUUUCGCAUUUUCGUAUUUGCAUCAUUGCACUUGACUUGUUGGUGUAUUAUAUGUGAAACGUGUCAAAUAACACAGUCUUUAAGAUACUUUGCUAAACAGCUCAUUUCUACAUUUUAUAUAUAACCCGUCAUAAAUCAUGUUCACUGAAGUCUACUUACCAAUAUAAUUAAAGACGUUACACAUAAAAAAUAAAUAGAAACAUUGGACAUGACUUCUGUUUAAAUGGUCAUUUUAGAAAAAACCCCUCUAGUAAUCCAUAAAUGCAUUGAUCGACUUUACUUUGUAUCCCACUGUAUGUUUGAUAUAUUUAUUUAUAACUGUUCAUUUGUUUUUUUAGUUUUGUUUUUUACAUUGCAUGCUAGUCAACAGUCAGAUCCUUAAAUGUGUUUAUAUAUGUUGAUAAAACAGAAUAAAUAUUCCACAGUCAGUUUUUUAUACCUAAUAUUUUGUCUUCAUUGUGUUUUCAGUCACAUCAUGAUUCAGUUGUUAAAGACUUUCAGAAAGGACAGAAUGAGACUGACAGGUGAAAAUCGAUGAUGACAGCUUAAGGAUUCACUAUCGUUAACAUAAGUGCACUGACACUUAAUAAUAGUAAAAACAAAACUGUAAAAUCUAGAGUCCAGAUGAGAGUUACAGCUGACAUAAGUAGGAUUACAACUUUUAUUUAUUAUUAUGAUUUAUAGUAUCUUAAUAGUUUACAUGUUGUGUAUAUUUAAAGUACCUAAAUAGGGUUUGAUCCAGUCAUUAUGUGGGGUGACAUUUAUAAGAGGGCAGCAUGGUGACACCGAGCGUUUGCAUCCACCACCUGGUCGGGGUCUCUGUGUGGGGUUUGCAUGUUCUCCUUGUGUUUUUGUGGGUUCUCUUCAGGUACUCCAGCUUCCUCCCACAGUCCACAGACAUGCAGUCAGUGGGGUUAGGUUCACUGGUGAUUCUGAAUCGCCCAGAGGUGUGAGUCUGAAUGGUCAUCAGUCCUUUCAGGAAGGAGGAAGAGGGCGACUUUACUUGGUGUCAGAGACAGAAAUGAGAAAAAGCUGAAAUGAGUGAGAAGGACGAUGAAGGAAACAUCUGUGCUGUGUCUGCUCUGUUAGCACCUCAUACCACAGUGCACCAAAAGCAGUCUCAUGAGCGCUGGGAAGGACAAGCCCAGAGCCCAAAACAGACAGUGCAGGAGAUGACAAGCUGUCCUGUGCCAGAUGUUCUGUUGACCCACUGUGAGAGACAUCAUUUAAGAAACACCAGGAAGACUGACUCAUCGCCGGGAUCAAGCAGGGCUCGUGAUCUUCACCAGCAGCUCCCUCACAAGAAGGAUAAACCCAGCAUUUCAUGAACACUGAUGGAGACCUUUGCUUGUGUAAUGUUAGAAGUACUCAGAUAAUCCUCAGAGGGUCUGGACUUUUACAUAAUAUAAUAUCUUUAAGUCCUGUAGAAAGUUAAAUAUAUGUUGUGCUCUCUGGUUACUCUGGUAUGAAUGACUCUGAAUCACUUUAUGGUAAAUAACACACUAUUGUCAUAAAACAGUGAAAGAAUUCCAGAUCACAAGUUUUUAGUUCAAAUACAAGUGACGACCUUUGACUUUAAUCAGGUUUUAUUUAAUUGUGUCAAAGAAAACAUCACAUGCUCUUCAUGUAGCUGAGUAUAUUCAGUGUUUAAAACAGAAGUUGUGCAGGUCUGAGAUCAGCAGUUUCCUGAAACACCAAACUGAGGUCCUGUUAAUGCUGAUGUAUAGUGACACAGUUACAUGGGUGAUUAAUCCUUUUGACUUUUUGUCUUUAACUUUAUCAAUAAAACAGCUGCAGCUUUCACUGACAGCACAUGUGGUACUUUAACCUUUGUACUGUUUUCUUCAGUUAAUUUUGGAGUAACUACAAAGAUUGAAGAUAUAGGAUGAUCUGUCUGCUGUCACUGGAUGGUGCUGAGGUCUGAAUCUGAGGACGGCUCCUGUAAUCACAAACAGAACAGAAUCAUCACAAACUGAAAUAUAAAGUUUAUCUCUCAAAUCUGAAAUAGAGCUGAUUCAUUCUGUGUCCUCACACACUCGGGAUCUGAAGUUGUUCAGUCCUACAGUUCUGCCGACAGCUGUUUAUUUAUUAUUUGUUUUAAAGGCCUUAUAUACUAACACAUUUUCUAAUAUCAUGUUUACCUUUGAGUUGUUUGCUUUAUAAAUGGACAUCUGCAAAGAUGAGAUGAUGGAGCAGGUUUCAGUCAAGGUUCAGUCUGCUGCUGCAUCCUGGUCACAACAUACGGAGGUGUUAUCAGCAGUGGUAUUGAACAAGAAAUAUUAAUGUUUCAAAUUAUUUGUCCUAAAGGAUGCAAGCUGUACAGAGUACUGCACAUGUGACUUUGUGAACAUAACUCAUUAAAAAUAAUUCGGACAGUUUUUAACCUGAAUAUUUGUAACAAACUCAGUAAAAAAUGCUAAAAAAAAAAAAAAUUGAGGAAAAAUGUAACAUUUUAACCUAAGCUUAAGCUUAACUUAAAUGGAUUGAAACAAAAAAAAUGGAUUGAAACUGAAAAAAAAUUGUAACUGAAAAGAAAAAAAUAGUUUCAAUUAAUUUUUUUUCGGCUUCAACACAAGAUUUCUCAGUACAUUUAUUUCAGUUACAAUAUUUUUUUCGGUUUCCUUUCAAGGUAUGGAGUUAAAUCAGGGCCAUAAUGUUUGUUUAGUUAAAAAAAAAUUUGAAAUCGAAAAUAUGUAAACUGAAAGCAAAAGUCACAUUUUUAGAGUGAACUUUGAAAAAGAAAGAGUUGGAUUUAAAAUUUUCAGAUUCAGAUCUUUUAAAUUAAUGUACAAAAAAAAAUUCUUCAGAUUCGGAUUUUUCUCUCAGCUUCAAUUUUUUUUUUUUCACUUUCAGAUCUCUAUUUUUCAGUUACAGACUUUUGGCCCUGUUUUGGCGUGGUGGGCGUGGCUACACACAGAGGGGCGGGGAAUCAUGAGUGACAGCAGACCGCUGCAGGCUCAAGAUGGUCCAUUUUUCAUGUUGCCUUCAGGAAACCUGGGAAUGAACAUAAUUUAUCAAACACCUCCUGCACUGUAUUAUUUGAUAAUGUUUAGAAAACAUGUCAUGCAUAACUGCUAAAACUCAGUUACUAAAGCUCUUUCAAGCAGUAAUGUGUACAAAUUACGCCGUAACUGAUCAAUUAUGAGACGUUUUCCCAGCCACUACGUGAGAAGUGGUCAUUCCCCAUUACAUAUUUUCGAUUUCAAAUUUUUUUUUAACUAAACAAACAUUAUGGCCCUGAUUUAACUCCAUAUCAAGGUGGCAUCGUUCUGAUCCCAUAAUAGGCC